ACAACUCUCAGCAUUUCAGAUACGUGGAAAGCAGAACCAGACACUUCUACCAGCAACAAAUUGCAAGCUUUGCCCCCACCUUCACGUGUUCCUCCAAUAGCAUCUAAUGUCAAAAGCUGUGUUGGAAAUCUCUGGAUUUCUAAAGAGAACAAAAAGCAUGGUGAGCUGCAGAGUGCUUGGGAAAGGGCAGAGGAUCUCACUCAGACCUGUGACACCUGCAGCUGCCAAACGAGAAGCAAGUGAAGCAUGUCGGUGUUACACCUCAGCUCAGGCCCUUGCAAGGGCAGUUUCUUUACAGCCCUGUUUCUAGGUAACCAAAUCCCUGUCACACACAGCAUUCCACAUUGCCAGAGGACACUGACACGAGCAGCACAGCGACCGUUGCCAUCAAUAGGGAUGCAUGGGGACACGGUCACAGAAUCAGGAAGAACAGAUUUGCUCUAUCACUUCUGUCUCCUCCAGCAUUCAAACUCACAAAGAACUCAGCUCUCCAGUUCAACAGAAUCAAACCUCCCGGCCCCAAAAUUUGGAACUUAGAGGCAAAGAAAAACACAACAACAAGAGGUCAUCUGAGGUUCAAGAAGGUUGCAGACAUGUGAAGGAGCAACACUGAAGGCUUCAUUACUGCAGGACAUUGGAGCAAGAAUGUGGUUUCAAAAGGCAUCAAGCUGUAAGAUGGUAAUAAAUCGUUAUUGAUUUCCUUCUUCAGAAGGCAAGCUGAACUCUGUCUAAUAAAUUAAAUGACUGUGGAUGCAGGAAUAGUGCCCACGAUGAUUCGUGGCCCCAAACCUACGCUGAGCUCACAUGAGAGUAGGGAUCAGAUAACAGCAAAAUGCUGAGCUGGGGCACGGCUCUGCCCCGCUGCCAGCUGCUUCUAACUGCAUCAAACCUUCAAUUAAUGUAUUUCUGCAGUGCUGCU